GACGAACGCUGGCGGUGUGCUUAACACAUGCAAGUCGUGCGACGAACCAGACUUCGGUCUGGGGCAAAGCGGCGAACGGGUGAGUAACACGUGGGUAAUCUGCCCCGAUGACUGGGACAACCCGAGGAAACUCGGGCUAAUACCGGAUGUGGUGCCUGGACUCAAGUCCGGUCACUAAAGGUAGCUUCGGCUUCCGCAUUGGGAGGGGCCCGCGGCCCAUUAGCUUGUUGGUGGGGUCAAGGCCUACCAAGGCAACGAUGGGUAGCUGGUCUGAGAGGACGAUCAGCCACACUGGGACUGAGACACGGCCCAGACUCCUACGGGAGGCAGCAGUGGGGAAUCUUGCGCAAUGCGCGAAAGCGUGACGCAGCAACACCGCGUGAGGGAAGACGGCCUUAGGGUUGUAAACCUCUUUCAGAUGGGACGAAGGUGAUGCGGUGAAUAGCCGAUGUCAUUGACGGUACCGUCAGAAGAGGCUCCGGCUAACUACGUGCCAGCAGCCG
rnacentral:rRNA from 1 species